rnacentral:rRNA from 1 species
AACGAACGCUGGCGGCAUGCCUAACACAUUCAAGUCGAACGAGACCUUCGGGUCUAGUGGCGCACGGGUGCGUAACGCGUGGGAACCUGCCUUUAGGUUCGGAAUAACUCAGAGAAAUUUGAGCUAAUACCGGAUGAUGUCUUCGGACCAAAGAUUUAUCGCCUUUAGAUGGGCCCGCGUUGGAUUAGCUAGUUGGUGGGGUAAAGGCCUACCAAGGCGACGAUCCAUAGCUGGUCUGAGAGGAUGAUCAGCCACACUGGGACUGAGACACGGCCCAGACUCCUACGGGAGGCAGCAGUGGGGAAUAUUGGACAAUGGGCGAAAGCCUGAUCCAGCAAUGCCGCGUGAGUGAUGAAGGCCUUAGGGUUGUAAAGCUCUUUUACCCGAGAUGAUAAUGACAGUAGCGGGAGAAUAAGCUCCGGCUAACUCCGUG